rnacentral:rRNA from 1 species
UAAUACCGGAUAAUAUUUUGAACUGCAUGGUUCGAAAUUGAAAGGCGGCUUCGGCUGUCACUUAUGGAUGGACCCGCGUCGCAUUAGCUAGUUGGUGAGGUAACGGCUCACCAAGGCAACGAUGCGUAGCCGACCUGAGAGGGUGAUCGGCCACACUGGGACUGAGACACGGCCCAGACUCCUACGGGAGGCAGCAGUAGGGAAUCUUCCGCAAUGGACGAAAGUCUGACGGAGCAACGCCGCGUGAGUGAUGAAGGCUUUCGGGUCGUAAAACUCUGUUGUUAGGGAAGAACAAGUGCUAGUUGAAUAAGCUGGCACCUUGACGGUACCUAACCAGAAAGCCACGGCUAACUACGUGCCAGCAGCCGCGGUAAUACGUAGGUGGCAAGCGUUAUCCGGAAUUAUUGGGCGUAAAGCGCGCGCAGGUGGUUUCUUAAGUCUGAUGUGAAAGCCCACGGCUCAACCGUGGAGGGUCAUUGGAAACUGGGAGACUUGAGUGCAGAAGAGGAAAGUGGAAUUCCAUGUGUAGCGGUGAAAUGCGUAGAGAUAUGGAGGAACACCAGUGGCGAAGGCGACUUUCUGGUCUGUAACUGAC